GACGAACGCUGGCGGCGUGCCUAAUACAUGCAAGUAGAACGCUGAAGCGAGGAGCUUGCUCUUCUUGGAUGAGUUGCGAACGGGUGAGUAACGCGUAGGUAACCUGCCUUGUAGCGGGGGAUAACUAUUGGAAACGAUAGCUAAUACCGCAUAACAAUGGAUGACACAUGUCAUUUAUUUGAAAGGGGCAAUUGCUCCACUACAAGAUGGACCUGCGUUGUAUUAGCUAGUAGGUGAGGUAAUGGCUCACCUAGGCGACGAUACAUAGCCGACCUGAGAGGGUGAUCGGCCACACUGGGACUGAGACACGGCCCAGACUCCUACGGGAGGCAGCAGUAGGGAAUCUUCGGCAAUGGGGGCAACCCUGACCGAGCAACGCCGCGGGAGUGAAGAAGGGUUUCGGAUCGUAAAGCUCUGUUGUAAGUCAAGAACGGGUGUGAGAGUGGAAAGUUCACACUGUGACGGUAGCUUACCAGAAAGGGACGGCUAACUACGUG
rnacentral:rRNA from 1 species